rnacentral:rRNA from 1 species
UACGUAGGUGUCAAGCGUUGUCCGGAUUUAUUGGGCGUAAAGCGCCCGCAGGCGGCUUGCCAAGUUCGAUGUGAAAUCUCCCGGCUCAACUGGGAGGGUGCAUCGAAAACUGGCAGGCUUGAGGCAGGGAGAGGGAUGUGGAAUUCCAGGUGUAGUGGUGAAAUGCGUAGAUAUCUGGAGGAACACCGGUGGCGAAGGCGGCAUCCUGGACCGGCAUUGACGCUGAGGCGCGAAAGCCAGGGGAGCAAACGGG